CGGCGGACGGGUGAGUAAUGCCUAGGAAUCUGCCUGGUAGUGGGGACAACGUUUCGAAAGGAACGCUAAUACCGCAUACGUCCUACGGGNGAAAGCAGGGGACCUUCGGGCCUUGCGCUAUCAGAUGAGCCUAGGUCGGAUUAGCUAGUUGGUGAGGUAAUGGCUCACCAAGGCGACGAUCCGUAACUGGUCUGAGAGGAUGAUCAGUCACACUGGAACUGAGACACGGUCCAGACUCCUACGGGAGGCAGCAGCG
rnacentral:rRNA from 1 species